rnacentral:rRNA from 1 species
UGCAGUCGAGCGAAUCGAUGGGAGCUUGCUCCCUGAGAUUAGCGGCGGACGGGUGAGUAACACGUGGGCAACCUGCCUAUAAGACUGGGAUAACUUCGGGAAACCGGAGCUAAUACCGGAUACGUUCUUUUCUCGCAUGAGAGAAGAUGGAAAGACGGUUUACGCUGUCACUUAUAGAUGGGCCCGCGGCGCAUUAGCUAGUUGGUGAGGUAAUGGCUCACCAAGGCGACGAUGCGUAGCCGACCUGAGAGGGUGAUCGGCCACACUGGGACUGAGACACGGCCCAGACUCCUACGGGAGGCAGCAGUAGGGAAUCUUCCGCAAUGGACGAAAGUCUGACGGAGCAACGCCGCGUGAACGAAGAAGGCCUUCGGGUCGUAAAGUUCUGUUGUUAGGGAAGAACAAGUACCAGAGUAACUGCUGGUACCUUGACGGUACCUAACCAGAAAGCCACGGCUAACUACGUGCCAGCAGCCGCGGUAAUACGUAGGUGGCAAGCGUUGUCCGGAAUUAUUGGGCGUAAAGCGCGCGCAGGUGGUUCCUUAAGUCUGAUGUGAAAGCCCACGGCUCAACCGUGGAGGGUCAUUGGAAACUGGGGAACUUGAGUGCAGAAGAGGAAAGUGGAAUUCCAAGUGUAGCGGUGAAAUGCGUAGAGAUUUGGAGGAACACCAGUGGCGAA